rnacentral:rRNA from 1 species
CCUACGGGAGGCAGCAGUGGGGAAUAUUGGACAAUGGGGGGAACCCUGAUCCAGCCAUGCCGCGUGUGUGAAGAAGGCCCUCGGGUUGUAAAGCACUUUCAGUGAGGAAGAACGCCUGGUGGUUAAUACCCAUCAGGAAAGACAUCACUCACAGAAGAAGCACCGGCUAACUCCGUGCCAGCAGCCGCGGUAAUACGGAGGGUGCGAGCGUUAAUCGGAAUUACUGGGCGUAAAGCGCGCGUAGGUGGCUUGAUAAGCCGGUUGUGAAAGCCCCGGGCUCAACCUGGGAACGGCAUCCGGAACUGUCAAGCUAGAGUGCAGGAGAGGAAGGUAGAAUUCCCGGUGUAGCGGUGAAAUGCGUAGAGAUCGGGAGGAAUACCAGUGGCGAAGGCGGCCUUCUGGACUGACACUGACACUGAGGUGCGAAAGCGUGGGUAGCAAACGGGAUUAGAUACCCCUGUAGUC